GGUAGCCUAAAAAAUAUAAAAUGUCUUAUUCCACAAUAUGAUGUAAUUAGCUUCAGGAAUAGAUGGUGGAACCACUGAUACAAGAGGAAACCAACCUACAGAUGAGAAAAUGUUCAAAGAAAAUGCUCGAAGGUUUUCUAUAACUGGCCCAAUGUCAUGUGGUCCAUAGUAAUGGAGCCAUGUCUCAUCCUAAAGCCCAUGCUGAAACCCAGAGGCUUUUGAGACUUUGUCAGCGCACCCUGAACACCAGAAUCACCUAAGAAGCUUCUUACGAACAUAUUUCCUGGCCCCAGGAGCUGAGGCUGGACCUUGAAGUUAAUUCACCAUGAGUGCUAUUUUACUUGAUUUAGGACAUUUUCCUUCACAUAAAAAUUUAAGUUUAUACUACUGUCACCUCUGGUCAAGAUGGAAUAAUAGAGACCAUAUUUAUCCUUCUGCUUGAAAAUCUAAAACACCAGACAAAAUAUAUGAAAUAUUUUUCAAGACAUUAGACAUCAAGAAACACUUGAUCCUUAAGAAGUGGGAAACAAAUGAGGUGAGUCUCCAAUUGACCCAGUUUACAACCUGG